rnacentral:misc_RNA from 1 species
GAGAAGAAAUCUUGCAUCUUGAGAUUGUUGGAGAAAAUGGAGAAGAAGGUAGAAAGACCGUAGAGAAAAAAUAGUUGGUUUAGAUUUUUUUUUUUAAUUUUUAAAUUAAUUAAGUUUUUUAAAAUAAUAUUAUAUUAUUUUUACUGGUUUCACCUUUCUAUUUAACUACUAUUUAUCGGUUAUGUGAAUGCAUAUGAUUAAAUUAGACUUAAUUGACUGUAAAUUAUAAUUCAUAGAGUUUAUUUGAUCAAAAUUGAGACAUGAAAGGCCUACUUGGACCUUGAAAUUCCACUCAACUCUGAACUCAACUAAGUUUCUAUCCUAAAAAUUUAUUGAGGUCAGUUAUAUGAAUUUUCUUUUUCCACUCCAAACGAUUUUGGGUUA